ACAAACGCUGGCGGGGUGCAUGAGACAUGCAAGUCGAACGAGGUGCCAUUGAGCUUGCUCGAUGGUUACCUAGUGGCGGACGGCUGAGUAACGCGUAGGUGACCUACCCGGAAGUGGGGAAUAACUGCCCGAAAGGGUGGCUAAUACCGCAUGUGGUCGGCGAUUCGAUUCGCCGUCCAAAGGAGAAAUCCGCUUCCGGCGGGGCCUGCGUCCGAUUAGCUAGUUGGUGAGGUAACGGCCCACCAAGGCGACGAUCGGUAGCUGGUCUGAGAGGAUGAUCAGCCAGACUGGGACUGAGAACGGCCCGGACUCCUACGGGAGGCAGCAGUCGGGAAUUUUGCCCAAUGAGCGAAAGCUUGAGGCAGCAACUCCGCGUGAGGGAUGAAGGCUCUCGGGUCGUAAACCUCUUUUCUCAGGGAAGAUCCAAGACGGUACCUGAGGAAUAAGCGACGGCUAACUACGU
rnacentral:rRNA from 1 species